AAUAAGUUUGAUUCUGGCUUUAUUAUUUUUUUUAUGAACAUAUUAUAUGCCUUGGUAUUUAAUUUUAUAUUAGCAGUAAAAAAUUUUUUAAAUUAAUUUUAUUUUUAGUAAGUGAUUUGUUUUAUGAUUGAUAAAUUUUGUGCCAGCAUUCGCGGUUAAACAAUUAAUUAAAGUUAAUAUUUUAGGUUUAAUUAAUUUUUAUUUUAGAAGUUUAAUUAAUUUUAUUUGGGUGGAAUUUAUAAGUUUUAUUUUUUCUUUAAAAUUUAUUUUAUAUCUGUUUUAUAAACUAGGAUUAGAUACCCUAUUAUUUAUGACUUAAAUCUUAAACUUGAAUAAAAGUAGUUAUGUUCUUCAUAACUCAAAGAUUUUGGCGGUUAAAUUUAAUUUUUCAGAGGAACCUGUAUUAUAAUUGAUAAACCACGAUAGUUUAUACCUUGAUUUUAUUUGUAUAUCUCUAUGAUUAUUGGAGUGUUUAUUUAGAAUAUUCUCUUUUUGUUUAUGGCUUUAAGUUUAGGUCAAGGUGCAGUUUUAUCUAGGUAAUUAUGGGUUACUUUAAUUAUUAUUUUUUUUUUAAUAAUAUUAUUUAAUUUAGGAUUUGAAAGUAAUUUAAAUUAAUUAAUUUAUUUGAAUAUUUUUAAUUAAUGUACAUAUUGCCCGUCACUCUCAUAUUGGGAUAAGUCGUAACAAAGUAGUUUUACCGGAAGGUGAGGCUAGAAUUAAUU
rnacentral:ncRNA from 1 species